UGGCUUGCUUUGUUGUGCAGUUUCAAACGACCGUACUGUGAAGAUAUAUGAUGUUGUCAACUAUGAUAAGAUGUUCAUGAUGCGCCUACCAUUUGUUCCUGGCACAAUUGAAUGGGUUUACAAGCCUGGAUAUGUCAAAGCUAAGCUUGCCAUUAGUGACCGGAACUCGGCCUAUGUUCACAUAUAAGAUGCACGUGUUGGUUCGAAUGAACCUAUUAUUUCAAAAUAGUUAGAAAAGCGGGAAGCUACAAGGAGACUGCAGGAUUUGUGGAAUCGGAAUAUGGAUCUCUGCAAGCAGAUGAAUAGAAGCCCAAGGCCAGUAUGAGACUGUCUAGCUACAAGUUCCCAUUUUGGGGAGAUGUCAGGAUAUUUUAUUAUAAAACAAUAUGUUUCUAAAGUUAUGAGUGUAUAGGUAAAUGUGAUGCUUUCAUUAGCUUGUUGAAUUUUCCAUGGAUCAUCAGGGGUCUUUGGUUUCCAUGAAGAGACGGUUACUCUUAUCUUGGUUUUUUUUUUUUUUUU